rnacentral:rRNA from 1 species
UGCAAGUCGAACGGGCUCUUCGGAGCAAGUGGCGGACGGGUGAGUAACGCGUGAGAAUGUGCCUUGAGGAUGGGGAUAACAAUAGGAAACUAAUGCUAAGACCCAAUGUGCCUUAAGUGGUGAAAAAUGAAAAUUGCCUGAAGAGGAGCUCGCGUCUGAUUAGCUAGUUGGGGUGGUAAAAGCGCACCAAGGCGACGAUCAGUAGCUGGUCUGAGAGGAUGAGCAGCCACACUGGGACUGAGACACGGCCCAGACUCCUACGGGAGGCAGCAGUGGGGAAUUUUCCGCAAUGGGCGAAAGCCUGACGGAGCAAUACCGCGUGAGGGAGGAAGGCUCUUGGGUUGUAAACCUCAAAACUUAGGGGAAGAAAAAAUGACGGUACCUAAUUUAAGCAUCGGGCUAACUCCGUGCCAGCAGCCGCGGUAAUACG